UGGGGAAUUUUGGACAAUGGGGGCAACCCUGAUCCAGCAAUGCCGCGUGUGUGAAGAAGGCCUUCGGGUUGUAAAGCACUUUUGUCCGGGAAGAAAUCCCCUGCCCUAAUACGGCGGGGGAUGACGGUACCGGAAGAAUAAGCACCGGCUAACUACGUGCCAGCAGCCGCGGUAAUACGUAGGGUGCGAGCGUUAAUCGGAAUUACUGGGCGUAAAGCGUGCGCAGGCGGUGAUGUAAGACCGAUGUGAAAUCCCCGGGCUCAACCUGGGAACUGCAUUGGUGACUGCAUUGCUCGAGUAUGGCAGAGGGGGGUGGAAUUCCACGUGUAGCAGUGAAAUGCGUAGAGAUGUGGAGGAACACCGAUGGCGAAGGCAGCCCCCUGGGCCAAUACUGACGCUCAUGCACGAAAGCGUGGGGAGCAAACAGGAUUAGAUACCCUGGUAGUCCACGCCCUAAACGAUGUCAACUGGUUGUCGGGCCUUCAUUGGCUUGGUAACGUAGCUAACGCGUGAAGUUGACCGCCUGGGGAGUACGGUCGCAAGAUUAAAACUCAAAGGAAUUGACGGGGUCAUAGCUGUUUCCU
rnacentral:rRNA from 1 species